CAGAAGGUCACCAUUGCAGCAAUAGAACUAGAGCCCUGGGGGAGGAAGGCAGGUGUGCAGACAGCAAGGCUGCUCCUCCUGGAGCACUGAUCCCCAAGGAAAUUAUGCCCUGGGAAACUUGGGGACGAGCAAUGCCAGGUGGACUGGAGCUCUGCAACACAGUGACAUAACACCUACAUAUCAUUCUGGAAACAGGAAUGAAACGGAAAAUCAGUCAGUGACACGGGCUUGGCAUGGAAGUGGUCUGCUUUGAGGAAAUUCUAGUUGAGACCUGCCAGCUCAAAGGUGAGUGGUGCAGUCCCAAUUAACCAUGAAUACACACUUCUGAUACUCUGAAAAUACUCUAAG
rnacentral:lncRNA from 12 species